ACAGCAGUCGCACGGUAAUACGAAGGGGGCUAGCGUUGUUCGGAAUCACUGGGCGUAAAGCGCACGUAGGCGGACACUUAAGUCAGAGGUGAAAUCCCAAGGCUCAACCUUGGAACUGCCUUUGAUACUGGGUGUCUUGAGGUCGAGAGAGGUGAGUGGAACUGCGAGUGUAGAGGUGAAAUUCGUAGAUAUUCGCAAGAACACCAGUGGCGAAGGCGGCUCACUGGCUCGAUUCUGACGCUGAGGUGCGAAAGCGUGGGGAGCAAACAGGAUUAGAUACCCCAGUAGUCCCUGUCUCUUAUACA
rnacentral:rRNA from 1 species